rnacentral:rRNA from 1 species
AUUGAACGCUGGCGGCAGGCCUAACACAUGCAAGUCGAGCGGAUGAAGCGAGCUUGCUCCUGGAUUCAGCGGCGGACGGGUGAGUAAUGCCUAGGAAUCUGCCUGGUAGUGGGGGAUAACGUCCGGAAACGGGCGCUAAUACCGCAUACGUCCUGAGGGAGAAAGUGGGGGAUCUUCAGACCUCACGCUAUCAGAUGAGCCUAGGUCGGAUUAGCUAGUUGGUGGGGUAAAGGCCUACCAAGGCGACGAUCCGUAACUGGUCUGAGAGGAUGAGCAGUGACUCUGAGACUGAGACGCGGUGGAGAAUAUUAGGGGAGGCAGGAGAGGCGAAUCCAGCGAAAUGGGCGAAAUGCUGAAGGAGUCAGGACGGGAGAAUGAUGAAAGUUUUAGGAUUGUAAAAUAAUUUAAUCGGUUACGAUAUUGACGUUACCAGGAGAAGAAGCACCGGCUAACUUCGUG